rnacentral:rRNA from 1 species
UACAGGGGGGUGCAAACGUUUGCUCGGAAUCAUUGGGCGUAAAGCGCACGUAGGCGGUCUGUUAUGUCGGAUGUGAAAGCCCUUGGCUCAACUGAGGAAGUGCAUCCGAAACUGGCAGGCUAGAGUACUAAAGAGGAUCGCGGAAUUCCCGGUGUAGAGGUGAAAUUCGUAGAUAUCGGGAGGAACACCAGUGGCGAAGGCGGCUACCUGGACCGGUUCUGACGCUGAUGCGCGAAAGCGUGGGGAGCAAACAGG